rnacentral:rRNA from 1 species
AACGAACGCUGGCGGCAUGCCUAACACAUGCAAGUCGAACGAGACCUUCGGGUCUAGUGGCGCACGGGUGCGUAACGCGUGGGAACCUGCCCUUAGGUUCGGAAUAACUCCCCGAAAGGGGUGCUAAUACCGGAUAAUGUCUUCGGACCAAAGAUUUAUCGCCUUUGGAUGGGCCCGCGUUGGAUUAGCUAGUUGGUAGGGUAAAAGCCUACCAAGGCGACGAUCCAUAGCUGGUCUGAGAGGAUGGUCAGCCACACUGAGACUGAGACACGGCCCAGAAUCCUACGGGAGGCAGCAGUGGGGAAUAUUGGACAAUGGGCGAAAGCCUGAUGCAGCAAUGCCGCGUGAGUGAUGAAGGCCUUAGGGUUGUAAAGCUCUUUUAACCGGGAUGAUAAUGACAGUACCGGGAGAAUAAGCUCCGGCUAACUCCGUG